rnacentral:lncRNA from 1 species
CUUCUUUAGGGUUUUAUCAACCCUUCAGCGCCGCCGUUUUCAAGAACCCACACGGCCUCCGUCGAUGCCCGGUCUCCAAUCGCGACGGAGAGGGCACCAACUCGGCGAUUUCGGCGAAAAGGUAAGUUUCCUCUUCCCUCUUUUCUUUAUAUUUUUAAUGAAAAAAUAAAUCGAAACAAGAAUAGACAAAAUAAAAAAACUCGAUUCACCUUAAAAAAAAAUGUUUUGUAUUCUCUGUAUUUUUUUCCGUAUAUCUUUCCUUUUUACAGAUUUUUGCCCCCC